AUUGAACGCUGGCGGCAUGCCUUACACAUGCAAGUCGAACGGCAGCACGGGGGCAACCCUGGUGGCGAGUGGCGAACGGGUGAGUAAAGCAUCGGAACGUGCCCUGGAGUGGGGGGAUAACGUAGCGAAAGUUACGCUAAUACCGCAUAUUCUGUGAGCAGGAAAGCAGGGGAUCGCAAGACCUUGCGCUCUGGGAGCGGCCGAUGUCGGAUUAGCUAGUUGGUGGGGUAAAGGCCUACCAAGGCGACGAUCCGUAGCGGGUCUGAGAGGAUGAUCCGCCACACUGGGACUGAGACACGGCCCAGACUCCUACGGGAGGCAGCAGUGGGGAAUUUUUGGACAAUGGGCGAAAGCCUGAUCCAGCCAUGCCGCGUGAGUGAAGAAGGCCUCGGUGUAAGAGUACUUCGUGGGUAGGAAGUAG
rnacentral:rRNA from 1 species